rnacentral:rRNA from 1 species
CCAAUAGCGUAUAUUAAAGUUGUUGCAGUUAAAAAGCUCGUAGUUGAAUUUCGGGAUUGACACAUCGGUCGUGCCUUCAGGGGUAUGAACUGGUGUAGUCAAUUUCUCACCUUCUGGAGAACCGCGAUGCCCUUAAUUGGGUGUCACGGGGAACCAGGACCUUUACUUUGAAAAAAUUAGAGUGUUUAAAGCAGGCAUUUUGCUUGAAUACAUUAGCAUGGAAUAAUAAAAUAGGACGGCAUGGUUCUAUUUUGUUGGUUUCUAGGAUCACCGUAAUGAUUAAUAGGGAUAGUUGGGGGCAUUAGUAUUCAAUUGUCAGAGGUGAAAUUCUUGGAUUUAUUGAAGACUAACUACUGCGAAAGCAUUUGCCAAGGAUGUUUUCAUUAAUCAAGAACGAAAGUUAGGGGAUCGAAGACGAUCAGAUACCGUCGUAGUCUUAACCAUAAACUAUGCCGACUAGGAAUCAGACGAUGUUAAUUUUUUAAUGACUCGUUUGGCACCUUACG